rnacentral:rRNA from 1 species
GAUGAACGCUGACAGAAUGCUUAACACAUGCAAGUCGAGCGAGCGGCGGACGGGUGCGUAAUGUAUGGGGACUGCCCGAUAGAGGGGGCUAACUACUGGAAACGGUGGCUAAUACCGCAUACGGUCGGAUAACUCAUAUGGGAUUAGCUAGUAGGUAAGGUAAUGGUGUACCUAGGCGACGAUCCCUAGCUGGUCUGAGAGGAUGAUCAGCCACACUGAGACUGAGACACGGCCCACACUCCUACGGAGGCAGCAGUGGCGAAUAUUGCACAAUGGGCACAAGCCUGAUGCAGCCAUGCCGCUUGUAUGACGAAGGCCCUAGGGUUGUAAAGUACUUUCAGUCGGGAGGCGUUACCGACAGAAGAAGCACCGGCUAACUCCGUGCCAGCAGCCGCGGUAAUUC